rnacentral:rRNA from 1 species
CGGGAAGAGCUCAAAUUUAGAAUCUGGCGCCUUCGGCGUCCGAGUUGUAAUUUAGAGAAGUGUUUUCCGUGCCGGACCGUGUACAAGUCUCCUGGAACGGAGCGUCAUAGAGGGUGAGAAUCCCGUCUUUGACACGGACCCCCGGUGCUCUGUGAUACACUCUCGAA